GCCUGAGGUAACUCAGUUGGUAGAGCAGGAGACUCUUAAUCUCGAGGGUUCGAGACCCAUAUGGGGCA